UACAGAGGGUGCAAGCGUUGCUCGGAUUUACUGGGCGUAAAGCGUACGCAGGCGGUGAGAAAGGUCGGAUGUGAAAGCCCCGGGCUCAACCCGGGAACUGCAUCCGAAACCAUCUCGCUAGAGUAUGGGAGAGGGAAGCGGAAUUCCUGGUGUAGAGGUGAAAUUCGUAGAUAUCAGGAGGAACAUCUGCGGCGAAGGCGGCUUCCUGGCCCAUUACUGACGUUCAGGUACGAAAGCGUGGGUAGCAAACAGG
rnacentral:rRNA from 1 species